rnacentral:rRNA from 1 species
GACGAACGCUGGCGGCGUGCUUAACACAUGCAAGUCGAACGGAGAUCUAGAGGAAGCUUGCGAAUCUAGAUCUUAGUGGCGGACGGGUGAGUAACGCGUGGGUAACCAACCCAUAACACUGGGACAACCCUGGGAAACUGGGGCUAAUACCGGAUAACUUCUUAGGAAGGCAUCUUCUAAAGAAGAAAGGCGGCCUCUUGAAAAAGCUGCUGGUUAUGGACGGGCCCGCGUCUGAUUAGCUAGUUGGUAGGGUAACGGCCUACCAAGGCGACGAUCAGUAGCCGGCCUGAGAGGGUGGCCGGCCACACUGGGACUGAGACACGGCCCAGACUCCUACGGGAGGCAGCAGUGGGGAAUAUUGCGCAAUGGGCGAAAGCCUGACGCAGCAACGCCGCGUGAGCGAUGAAGGUCUUCGGAUCGUAAAGCUCUGUCCUUGGGGAAGAAGGUCUUCGGACUUGACGGUACCCAAGAAGAAAGCCCCGGCUAACUACGUG